AAAUAAAGGGGCCCAACAGGAAGGCUGGAAUAAUGGAAGCAAAGAGGGGGCUUUCCUGGGACAAAGGUCUCUCCAAACACUGGGUUCCUUUCACUAGCUGUUUGACUCAGUGAGGAUGUCUGAUUAUAGCCCUCCAGUGAUCGGGACAUGGCUGACCUAGUAUGUGCCACCCAGGAAUCUGGUGACCCUCAAGACUGCAGAGAAUAUAUACCUGACUCUAUGUACUGUAAACUACAUCUAUACCGCCAGGGACUGAUCACAAGUACCUGCAGCGAGAGAGCGUUGCGCUGGGAAGGUUUUCCUACCAACCCCUGCUCUUUGCGUUUUUUGAAUUUCCGAAAAUACUCCUGUAUCAGGAAGGUGGCAUAAAACUUUCCCACAGUAACUUCAUCAUCUAAGUGAAAGAAAAGCAAUAAUCAGCAUUUGGUGUAAAACUGACGGGUGAGUACCCAGAAUACCUCACAACCUCCUACAUUUAUCCCCCUGAAAAGAGACCUCACUGCUUGUCAUGUACAAAGAUUUUACAUUUAUGCAAGUUUCAGACAAGUAUAAUACGGCCACAUUUUCGUGUCCGUAUUUCGACUGUGGUACCCUGACCCCAACUAAAGGCAUCAUAGUUUGGGUCAUUACACAUGCAAUCUUGCAGGGACCUGUGGCCAUAUUAUAGUCAUUUGUAGCCUAGCCUGAUCUUGAACACAGCAACUUUGCCUCACUUAGGGUGAAUUCAUCUUAAUAAAAGCUGCAGAAAUCAUCUGCUAUAUACAAUG